GAUUUACUGGGCGUAAAGGGCGCGUAGGCGGCGCAACAAGUCACUUGUGAAAUCUCCGGGCUUAACCCGGAGCGGCCAAGUGAUACUGUCGUGCUAGAGUGCGGAAGGGGCUACUGGAAUUCUCGGUGUAGCGGUGAAAUGCGUAGAUAUCGAGAGGAACACCUGCGGCGAAGGCGGGUAGCUGGGCCGACACUGACGCUGAGGCGCGAAAGCCAGGGGAGCGAACGGGAUUAGAUACCCCGGUAGUCCUGGCCUUAAACGAUGGAUGCUUGGUGUCCGGGGUUACAUAGUCCCCGGGUGCCGGCGCUAACGCAUUAAGCAUCCCGCCUGGGGAGUACGGUCGCAAGACUGAAACUCAAAGGAAUUGACGGGGACCCGCACAAGCGGUGGAGCAUGUGGUUUAAUUCGACGCAACGCGAAGAACCUUACCUGGGCUAGAAUGCUCCUGACAGCCCCAGAGAUGGGGUCUCCUGGGUAAAACCAGGCAGGAUGCAAGGUGCUGCAUGGCU
rnacentral:rRNA from 1 species